rnacentral:rRNA from 1 species
UCCAGACUCCUACGGGAGGCAGCAGUGGGGAAUAUUGCACAAUGGGGGAAACCCUGAUGCAGCGACGCCGCGUGAGCGAUGAAGUAUUUCGGUAUGUAAAGCUCUAUCAGCAGGGAAGAAGAUGACGGUACCUGAUUAAGAAGCCCCGGCUAACUACGUGCCAGCAGCCGCGGUAAUACGUAGGGGGCGAGCGUUAUCCGGAUUCACUGGGUGUAAAGGGAGCGUAGACGGCCAUGCAAGCCAGGGGUGAAAGCCCGGGGCCCAACCCCGGGACUGCUCUUGGAACUGCAUGGCUGGAGUACAGGAGGGGCAGGCGGAAUCCCUAGUGUAGCGGUGAAAUGCGUAGAUAUUAGGAGGAACACCGGUGGCGAAGGCGGCCUGCUGGACUGUGACUGACGUUGAGGCCCGAAGGCGUGGGGAGCAAACAGGAUUAGAUACCCCGGUAC